ensembl:lncRNA
GGUCUGGUCAGUUGAUAUUUGAUCCAGGUCUGGUCAGUUGAUAUUGGAUUCAGGUCUGGUCAGUUGAUAUUGGAUUCAGGUCUGGUCAGUUGAUAGUUGAUCCAGGUCUGGUCAGUUGAUAUUUGAUCCAGGUCUGGUCAGUAGUCAGUUGAUAUUGGAUUCAGGUCUGGUCAGUAGUCACUUGAUAUUUGAUCCAGGUCUGGUCAGUAGUCACUUGAUAUUUGAUCCAGGUCUGGUCAGUUGAUAUUUGAUCCAGGUCUGGUCAGUAGUCAGUUGAUAUUUGAUCCAGGUCUGGUCAGUAGUCAGUUGAUAUUUGAUCCAGGUCUGGUCAGUAGUCAGUUGAUAUUUGAUCCAGGUCUGGUCAGUAGUCAGUUGAUAUUUGAUCCAGGUCUGGUCAGUAGUCAGUUGAUAUUUGAUCCAGGUCUGGUCAGUAGUCAGUUGAUAUUUGAUCCAGGUCUGGUCAGUUGAUAUUUGAUCCAGGUCUGGUCGGUAGUCAGUUGAUAUUUGAUCCAGGUCUGGUCAGUUGAUAUUGGAUUCAGGUCUGGUCAGUUGAUAGUUGAUCCAGGUCUGGUCAGUUGAUAUUUGAUCCAGGUCUGGUCAGUAGUCACUUGAUAUUUGAUCCAGGUGUAGUCAGUUGAUAUUUGAUCCAGGUCUGGUCAGUAGUCAGUUGAUAUUUGAUCCAGGUCUGGUCAGUUGAUAUUUGAUCCAGG